GAUGAACGCUGGCGGCGUGCCUGACACAUGCAAGUCGAACGAAGCACCUUACCUGAUUCUUCGGAUGAAAGUUUGGUGACUGAGUGGCGGACGGGUGAGUAACGCGUGGGUAACCUGCCCUGUACAGGGGGAUAACAGCUGGAAACGGCUGCUAAUACCGCAUAAGCGCACGAGGAGACAUCUCCUUGUGUGAAAAACUCCGGUGGUACAGGAUGGGCCCGCGUCUGAUUAGCUGGUUGGCAGGGUAACGGCCUACCAAGGCAACGAUCAGUAGCCGGUCUGAGAGGAUGAACGGCCACAUUGGAACUGAGACACGGUCCAAACUCCUACGGGAGGCAGCAGUGGGGAAUAUUGCACAAUGGGGGAAACCCUGAUGCAGCAACGCCGCGUGAGUGAAGAAGUAUUUCGGUAUGUAAAGCUCUAUCAGCAGGGAAGAUAAUGACGGUACCUGACUAAGAAGCUCCGGCUAAAUACGUG
rnacentral:rRNA from 1 species